rnacentral:rRNA from 1 species
UGAACGGCCACAUUGGGACUGAGACACGGCCCAGACUCCUACGGGAGGCAGCAGUGGGGAAUAUUGCACAAUGGGGGAAACCCUGAUGCAGCGACGCCGCGUGGAGGAAGAAGGUCUUCGGAUUGUAAACUCCUGUUGUUGAGGAAGAUAAUGACGGUACUCAACAAGGAAGUGACGGCUAACUACGUGCCAGCAGCCGCGGUAAAACGUAGGUCACAAGCGUUGUCCGGAAUUACUGGGUGUAAAGGGAGCGCAGGCGGGAAGACAAGUUGGAAGUGAAAUCCAUGGGCUCAACCCAUGAACUGCUUUCAAAACUGUUUUUCUUGAGUAGUGCAGAGGUAGGCGGAAUUCCCGGUGUAGCGGUGGAAUGCGUAGAUAUCGGGAGGAACACCAGUGGCGAAGGCGGCCUACUGGGCACCAACUGACGCUGAGGCUCGAAAGUGUGGGUAGCAAACAGGAUUAGAUACCCUGGUAGUCCACACCGUAAACGAUGAUUACUAGGUGUUGGAGGAUUGACCCCUUCAGUGCCGCAGUUAACACAAUAAGUAAUCCACCUGGGGAGUACGACCGCAAGGUUGAAACUCAAAGGAAUUGACGGGGGCCCGCACAAGCAGUGGAGUAUGUGGUUUAAUUCGACGCAACGCGAAGAACCUUACCAAGUCUUGACAUCCUGCGACGUGCAUAGAAAUAUGUAUUUCCUUCGGGACGCAGAGACAGGUGGUGCAUGGUUGUCGUCAGCUCGUGUCGUGAGAUGUUGGGUUAAGUCCCGCAACGAGCGCAACCCUU